UGAAACUGCGAAUGGCUCAUUAAAUCAGUUAUGGUUCCUUAGAUCGUUCAUAUUACAUGGAUAACUGUGGUAAUUCUAGAGCUAAUACAUGCAAAAAGCUCCGACCGUAUGGGAAGAGCGCUUUUAUUAGACCAAAACCAAUGGGGUCGCAAGAUCCCUUUAUUUGGUGACUCUGGAUAACUUUGUGCUGAUCGCAUGGCCUCGAGCCGGCGACGUAUCUUUCAAGUGUCUGCCCUAUCAACUUUCGAUGGUAAGCGAUUUGCCUACCAUGGUUGUAACGGGUAACGGGGAAUCAGGGUUCGAUUCCGGAGAGGGAGCAUGAGAAAUGGCUACCACAUCUACGGAAGGCAGCAGGCGCGCAAAUUACCCACUCCUAGAACGGGGAGGUAGUGACGAAAAAUAACAAUACCGGACUCAAUGAGGCUCGGUAAUUGAAAUGAGUACAGUUUAAAACCCUUAACGAGGAUCUAUUGGAGGGCAAGUCUGGUGCCAGCAGCCGCGGUAAUUCCAGCUCCAAUAGCGUAUAUUAAAGUUGUUGCAGUUAAAAAGCUCGUAGUUGGAUCUCGGGUACUAGCAUGUGGUACGCUUAACUGCUGUUACUACAUGUCUGGUCCUAAUCAAUCGGUUGGCCGUUGAUGCCCUUUAUUGGGUGUUUUCGGUAGCCGGUACGUUUGCUUUUGAGNAAAUUAGAGUGCUUAAAGCAGGCAAUACGCCUGAAUAAUGNNGNNNNGAAUAAUNGAAAUNGGACCUCGGUUCUAUUUUUGUGGUUUUG
rnacentral:rRNA from 1 species